UACGUAGGUGGCAAGCGUUGUCCGGAUUUAUUGGGUUUAAAGGGUGCGUAGGCGGUUUUGUAAGUCAGUGGUGAAAUACUCUAGCUUAACUAGAGGGGUGCCAAUGAUACUGCGGAACUUUGAGUACAGAUGAGGUAGGCGGAAUUGACGGUGUAGCGGUGAAAUGCAUAGAUAUCGUCAAGAACACCGAUAGCGAAGGCAGCUUACUGGGCUGUAAACUGACGCUGAUGCACGAAAGUGUGGGGAUCAAACAGG
rnacentral:rRNA from 1 species